rnacentral:rRNA from 1 species
AGAGUUUGAUCAUGGCUCAGAAUCAACGCUGGCGGCGUGCCUAACACAUGCAAGUCGAACGCGAAAGUCCCGCAAGGGAUGAGUAGAGUGGCAAACGGGUGAGUAACACGUGGGUGACCUGCCUUCGAGCGGGGGAUAACGUCCCGAAAGGGACGCUAAUACCGCAUAACAUCCUGCCUUUGAAGAGGUGGAGAUCAAAGCUGGGGAUCGCAAGACCUAGCACUCGAAGAGGGGCCCGCGUCCGAUUAGCUAGUUGGUGGGGUAAUGGCUCACCAAGGCAACGAUCGGUAGCCGGCCUGAGAGGGCGGACGGCCACACUGGGACUGAGACACGGCCCAGACUCCUACGGGAGGCAGCAGUGGGGAAUUGUUCGCAAUGGGCGCAAGCCUGACGACGCAACGCCGCGUGGAGGAUGAAGAUCUUCGGGUCGUAAACUCCUUUCGAUCGAGACGAACGGCCCUGGGGUGAACAAUCCCGGGGAGUGACGGUACCGAGAGAAGAAGCCCCGGCUAACUCCGUGCCAGCCGCCGCGGUAAUAC